GGAGAACAUGCAAACUCCACACACACAAGGCGGACUCGAACCCCCAACCCUGGAGGUGUGAGGGAGCCAGUCGAUUUGAGACACGACCCAUGUGUCUUAGUGAAAUGAGGAAGGCGUGGGUCGCUUAUAAAGCUGCCAAAUACCAAGCAGAUGCAGAUAAACUUCUAAAAGUUAUAGAGGUCAUUAAUUCCACAAUAUUUCUGAUUCUGAAAAUACUGUUUAAUUUUCCCUAAACAUUAAAAUUAACAGAUUUUUCAUUA